AAUAAAACAACGACAUUUCCUUGCACAAAGAUGUCCAAAAGUAAGAGCAAAUAUAAUAAUUACAAAUUAGCCCUGGGUACCCCAAAAAUACUUCAUAGAAUUAACAAUUCUCUCAUUGAAUGAGUGGUAAGUGCACUCCACAUUCCUGGAAAGGCUGGAGUAGGAAUUCUGAACGGAGAUAAGUUUGUUGGCCGUGCAAAUACCUUCCUGCUUAAUACUUUUCACUGAAAUAUGAAGCUUACCGAUACUUGUGUUGGUUUCCUUCUGGAGGAAAAAGACCUUUUAAAUAGCAUCAUGAUGUGUCUCUAGUCCACGCUCCACAGCCACGAGAUGAGUUUUGAGUUCGUCGGCAUCCUUGAGUAGAUUAUUGGCAGAGUCUGCAGAGAUCUUAAUUGGUUUUGCUUCUUCCACCCUUUAUUGGACCGUGUCUUUCUUGACCCAUCUAUUGCCCAUCUCGACAUAGCCCAUACUUGAAAAGAUACGGGAGUCAUAGGUAGAGUUUAUCACAAUGGUCUUGUACGAAGAGAUAUCAAUGAGACGGUCCACAACUAUUCACGAUAUAAGCAAUCCAUACGGUAAACGCACCGAGGGAUUUGUUUCCUCAGAACAUUCCCACAUGUACUCCUUAAACCAUUGAGCCUAGUUGAUUAUGUAUUUUUUGAGCAAGCAGUAUAGCACAAAUAUAUCUCUACUCAAGAUGUUACUUAGGGAUCCCUUCCUAGGAAGUAAUGUAGUAACUAUGUGAGCCAGGAUGCAAUUUUCAAAGCAAAGAUCCAGAGGACCAAAAUCAGACAACUUGGAUUCUGGUUUGGCCACAGCAGCUUUAGCCUCUUCUAGGGUUACUUCAAAAUCAGUAGGGUAAGAACCAUUCAUGAAAGGAAUAACACCAAAAAAAUUUUGUACCAAAGACGUCUGCAAACGAUGGUUCACUUAUAACAAGAA
rnacentral:misc_RNA from 1 species